rnacentral:misc_RNA from 1 species
UUUCCGUAGGUGAACCUGCGGAAGGAUCAUUAUUGUACAAAAUGUGAGGGGCAUGCGAGGUCUGUCUCUGCCCUAAAAGCCGUGUACGCCCGAGUGUGUCUUCUUGCAUAAUAAUCCAACCUACUUUUUGUGCUUUACCGCGUGGGACUCUUUCGGGUACAUCUCGGAAGGGCGACCUCCAACUCCCACACACCCACCUUUUAAAACUGUAAAAAACCCACCUUUAUGCAAUCACAACAACUUUCAACAACGGAACUUUUGGCCCUCGCAUCUACGAAC